GGCAGCAGGCCGAAUACGAAACCGUAUAAUCUUUGACGCCGCCAAACUGCCGCACGUAAUAAGUACUAGACCAUCCAGAUUUUUCUCGGCAUCGCUGUUGUCUAAGUACAUCUCCGAUUGCACGACCGUUACCAUUAGCAGCUACAAAAGAACGACAAUCUUUAAACGCGCCAAAUCCAGCUGUUCGGAAACCAUAUUGAUUAAGUGCACAAAUUGGAAGAUAAAAAGGUCAAUGAAGUUGGAAACAUUGGCUAUUUCAAUCUAUCUUUGAAUUCUCUAUUGUUUACACAAUUUCUUUGCCCUAAAUUUCUCUAAAAUGUUCUAAUCCUAAUUUAUAGACAUAUUUAUUUCACAGGAAAAAGAACAAUAAUGAGCGCAAAGAGUGGUGCGAAUCAAUGCGAACCUUCUACAAAGUUCAUUUAAUACGUUCGGAGAAAUGUCAGUUGACAGAUGGUAGAAAUAUGUAUGUGUGUAUUUCCAUAAAACACAGUUCGAUUAUGUAAAAGUAUCUAGUUCCACCUAUUUGUCCACUCACUUUUGUUCUCGUGUGGAUAACACGCAUGUUAACUUCGCAAUAGAAUAAUAGCAUGAGUCUCGUACCAGAAAAAAAGUCGCAAUUAUGGCACGUAUAGCGGAGAAGACAUCGUAGUCUUGAAGAGGCCAGGUACCUACAGGCCACGACAAGAUUUUCAACGGAGUCAUCGCGUAAGCGAAGUCCUUACUCGUCGACGUUUUCAUCCUGACUGGACGAAGAUUGACAAAUAACUCCACGCAAUCUAAGUUACCACUGCUGCUGCAUUUCCAUGAAAAUUGUAGUGAGAAAGUGGAGUUACUUAGGUAGGUGAAUACUUUAUUGUUGUUCUUCUGUACGGGUAACACCACGGUUUCCGUCGAACAGUACCAUUCGUUUUAAAAAUUGAUCUGUAUUUGUAGAUAAUAUCCAACUUACAUGAUACAUUCUUAAGAAGAUCAUACCUUUCGAAAAUUGGACUGUAUUAUCAAAGAAUAUUCAACUUUCACAGCUGAAUAUCAGAAUAGGGUUCCAGCGAUAUGUAAGCGAUAAGGAAAUGGGAAGAACGAAGAUCUAUUUUCUUAUAACAAGAAGAUACCUUUUUUUAUAAGGGAAGUAGAAGAAUUGAAACGAGUAAAUUGCAAUCGACUAUUUUCAACUGAAACAAUAGGACGAUUGUAAUCAGUUUGUCGUAAAAGUGCACUCUGGAAAAUUUCUUAUUUAUACACACGUACUGAUCCGAGCCGUUGUACACUCAUGUGUAGUAAAUUAUAGCAAGCUUCGUGCGCAAGUAUGUUUACGAAAGUUUGAGUCAUAGGUUAGAGAAAACUUCGCUCUUCCUCAUCGAAUUACAGUAAUAGCGCCUGUGCUAUACUAGCAAUGCAGCGAGAAUGUCGAAAGGAAUACAUAGCACUCACGAUCAAACGGUCUUCAUGUGUCUCGCGUUACUUUCAAAACGGACAAAUAAGAAGUCUGGUGUCUGUCGUACUUCUUUGAAUAUGAACAUAUUCAUCGAGAAGAAUUUCCCUUCUGUCACGCGGUAUGACAAGUUCCCACGAUUCAUUGUGAGUAUCUUGCUAAGUGUCCUCUCGAGGUUGAUACCACGGCGAAUUGCAGACGGUUUGUGCGAUCUCUUCUGAUCGAGUCUCGGCUGCGUCGCCUGUGUAAGCGCGAAGGUACAGUUGUAUGAGCACCGUCAUCAUCAGGACAACUCCUUUCAAUGCACUGCCCACUGUUAUCUCUCGUGCUCAGACAGAUCAGCAGCACGAAAUCUGCUUUGAUAAUCAAGUUUCAGAUCGUUUGCUACAUGUCAUCGAGAUUGAUAGCAGGGCGAUUUAUCUGAGUAGACCAAGAGGUACAGUUCUGUGAGUCACUUCACCAUCAGGACUGGGUUUUUCACUGCACCGAUGUUGUCUCUCGUGCCCAGGCAGCUCAGAAACACGAAACUUGGUUUGGUGAUCAAGCCUUCAGGAAUAUAUCGAGUCGCCGACGCUCUCCAUUUGACGCUUUAAAUAUUCACCCACGUAACUG